CAUUAUGCCACUUUUCAUCAAGAUCUAAAUUCCUGUGCACAGCUCCAAUUAUCUGGACCAAAGUAUCAUAUGGUUUUCUUACAGGCAACCAGUUUGUUUACUAUAUACAAGUUUUCUUAGCAAACCCACAGCCAGCAUGCAAAUUAGCAAGUGGCGUUUUGUAUGGAUCUAACCUUUGAUGUCGUCUUUUUGGUGAUAACAAAAAGUUUCAUUUUCCUGCAUUAGAUAUGAAUAACACUUCUUAACAUCAGUGCUGUGGAGUUGGAAAGCUACAACAACAAAACACACAAACUACUUAACAGGCUGGACACCUAAUUUUAGAAAUAAGACUUGACAUGCAGAAUAACUACUGCUAGCACAUGAUUUAUUGCUUACCACCCCAUCAUAUGACACGCUCUCAGUUACUGGCAUAAUAAGACUUAUCUGACUGACACCACUGAAUUAAUUGCUCUCUGUUGCUGAGCGAGGUGAAGACCUGAAGUACAACAGAACACUUUGAAAGCAUCAAAUGCCAGGUGAAUGUCAUCAAGUUCAGAAUGAUCCCUGUGCUCCAGCAUGGAUUUGAAUACAAAAUCCUUUUAGACUUGUGGCUCAGCAAUUUCCACAACAGCUCUUUGAAACCAUGUAUACCAAGACCAUAUGAAACAAAGAGGAAUACAUUAUGGUGGAAAAGAUGAGGGAAAAUAAAUAGGAGAAUGGGAAAUCAGAAUGAAUUGAUGAGAAAGAGAAGACACAAUGGUCCCAAAUUAUUUCACACUGCCAGCUGGAUCUACAUGACUCUUCAAAGGGAUAAAAUACAGAGCCGCCUUCCCUACAGUGGAUCAGAAGAAGCAAGCACAGAACUGUGGGUAGAGAACAGUAGACUCCAGUAUAUCCCAAAGUGUUUAGUAGAGUGAACCCCACUGAUUUGCAUGUCUAGCUAAUCUGUAUUGUUCUGGGGAAGGUUGCAGGAGACAAUGCCAAGGAACUGUGGGAAACUAGAUCCCGUCCCAAUCUCAUAAGCAUGAAUAAUCAGAGUAGCUGCUAAUGAUUGUGUUUGACAGGAGGGAGAAACUAGGCAAGGGCAGGAGAACUAGUGACUCCAGGCCUUAACAGUAAAAUUAAUUUAAUAUUGCAGAUAACUGAAUCUGUGAUAAAGGAAACAAGGCCUUCACUCACAUAA
rnacentral:lncRNA from 1 species